GACGUAGGGCGCGAGCGUUGUCCGGAUUUAUUGGGCGUAAAGAGCUCGUAGGCGGCUUGUCGCGUCGUCCGUGAAAACCCGGGGCUCAACCCCGGGCCUGCAGCCGAUACGGGCAGACUAGAGUUCGGCAGGGGGAGACUGGAAUUCCUGGUGUAGCGGUGGAAUGCGCAGAUAUCGGGAAGAACACCCGUGGCGAAGGCGGUUCUCUGGGACGGUACUGACGCUGAGACGCGAAAGCGUGGGGAGCGAACAGG
rnacentral:rRNA from 1 species